AAGACUGUACUUUUACAGGAUCAUUUCUAUAGUAAUUACUUACUAUAUGCGUCUUCUAAGAAGACAACAACUCAAUCUAGGAUGAUUAAAAGAACACUCUUAUCCUUAAUGGGACAUUGAAAUCUCUAGUAUUUUAUUCUUUUUAGAAUAGAAUACUUUUGCAUUUCACGAUGAUCGUCCAUCACUGUUUUAAACCGAUAGUUUUAUACUUGAAGUUACCAGUGUAUGGAGGGUAUGAAUGCUUCUGACUAGAU
rnacentral:snoRNA from 1 species